AGCUGAAGAGACUGGGUUCCGUCCUACGGUGGGAUUUCUUUCCGUGCUCGCGCGUUCAGCCCCAAGUCUCAGGGCCACUCGUCUGGGAAGUUGUAGAAUCUGUAUAGCCAACCUACACAACCUCCAAGGGGCCUGCUGCCAUCAGACUGGAACUAAACCAUCAGCUCUCAUGGGACUCCAUCUUGCUGACUUAUCCUGCAGAUCUUGGGAUUUAACCGCCUCCAUAAUCACGAAUCCUCCCUCCAGGUCACUGGGAGCUUCAAUUCCUUAGAAGAAAGAAAGAGAUGACUCCUGCUUCAUAGUCCAGGAAAAUCCCCACACACCGUGGAGGCUCUUUAAGGCGGAAGGAGGUCUGCGGGGAUGUGAGAGCUUCAUACUCAUUCCCACGACUCUGUCGCAGAAGCCAGUGUCCAUUGGCAGAAGCAACUAUCACCAUACUAUGAAGUAGCACAAGCCCUUCACCAGAUACAGUCGCCCAAUCUUGGACCAUCCAGCCCCAAGAACCAUGAGCUAAAUAAACCUUUUUCCUUGAUAAA
rnacentral:lncRNA from 1 species